AUGAUUCCCAGGUGGGGAGAUACCACGAUCAUAAAUGCGGUUUUCCCAGGGUGAGGCUUAUCCAUUGCACUCUGGAUGUGCUGACACCUGCGAUUUUCCCAAAUUCAGGAAACUCAACUACAUAAUUUGUGAUAGUGGGAAGCUG
ensembl:snRNA U1 U1 spliceosomal RNA